AUUGAACGCUGGCGGCAGGCUUAACACAUGCAAGUCGAGCGGAGAUGAGGUGCUUGCACCUUAUCUUAGCGGCGGACGGGUGAGUAAUGCUUAGGAAUCUGCCUAUUAGUGGGGGACAACAUUCCGAAAGGAAUGCUAAUACCGCAUACGUCCUACGGGAGAAAGCAGGGGAUCUUCGGACCUUGCGCUAAUAGAUGAGCCUAAGUCGGAUUAGCUAGUUGGUGGGGUAAAGGCCUACCAAGGCGACGAUCUGUAGCGGGUCUGAGAGGAUGAUCCGCCACACUGGGACUGAGACACGGCCCAGACUCCUACGGGAGGCAGCAGUGGGGAAUAUAGGACAAUGGGGGAAACCCUGAUCCAGCCACGCCGCGUGUGUGAAGAAGGCCUUAUGGUUGUAAAGCACUUUAAGCGAGGAGGAGGCUACUGAGACUAAUACUCUUGGAUAGUGGACGUUACUCGCAGAAUAAGCACCGGCUAACUCUGUGCCAGCCGCCGCAGUAA
rnacentral:rRNA from 1 species